AACGAACGCUGGCGGCAGGCCUAACACAUGCAAGUCGAGCGAGGACUUCGGUCCUAGCGGCGGACGGGUGAGUAACGCGUGGGAACGUGCCCUUUGCUUCGGAAUAGCCCUGAGAAACUGGGAGUAAUACCGGAUGAGCCCUUUGGGGGAAAGAUUUAUCGGCGAAGGAUCGGCCCGCGUUGGAUUAGGUAGUUGGUGGGGUAAUGGCCUACCAAGCCGACGAUCCAUAGCUGGUUUGAGAGGAUGAUCAGCCACACUGGGACUGAGACACGGCCCAGACUCCUACGGGAAGCAGCAGGGGGGAAUCUUAGACAAUGGGGGAAACCCUGAUCUAGCCAUGCCGCGUGAGCGAUGAAGGCCUUAGGGUUGUAAAGCUCUUUCAGCUGGGAAGAUAAUGACGGUACCAGCAGAAGAAGCCCCGGCUAACUCCGUG
rnacentral:rRNA from 1 species